CAGUUAAGGAUGAAUUUCAGAGAAAUAAUAAACAGCUUUUUUUAGUAUAAGUAGGUUCCAGCCAAUAUUUGGGACAUACUUAUGCUAAAAAUUUAUCUGUUGUUUGUCUGAAUAGUCAACGU
rnacentral:miRNA from 1 species